rnacentral:rRNA from 1 species
UACAGAGGUCCCAAGCGUUGUUCGGAUUCACUGGGCGUAAAGGGUGCGUAGGUGGUUCUGCAAGUCUGAUGUGAAAUCUCCGGGCUUAACCCGGAAAUGGCAUUGGAAACUGCAGGGCUAGAGUGUUGGAGGGGGGACUGGAAUUCUCGGUGUAGCAGUGAAAUGCGUAGAUAUCGGGAAGAACACCCGUGGCGAAGGCGGUUCUCUGGGACGGUACUGACGCUGAGACGCGAAAGCGUGGGGAGCGAACAGG